UUGCAAACUCCGAAUACCAGUAAGUACUAUCCGGGAGACACACGGCGGGUGCUAACGUCCGUCGUGGAGAGGGAAACAACCCAGACCGCCAGCUAAGGUCCCAAAGUAUUGCUAAGUGGGAAACGAUGUGGGAAGGCUCAGACAGCUAGGAUGUUGGCUUAGAAGCAGCCAUCAUUUAAAGAAAGCGUAAUAGCUCACUAGUCGAGUCGGCCUGCGCGGAAGAUGUAACGGGGCUAAGCAAUACACCGAAGCUGCGGCAAUGUCUUUUAGACAUUGGGUAGGGGAGCGUUCUGUAAGCCGUUGAAGGUGAAUCGUAAGGUUUGCUGGAGGUAUCAGAAGUGCGAAUGCUGACAUGAGUAACGACAAAGGGGGUGAAAAACCUCCUCGCCGGAAGACCAAGGGUUCCUGUCCAACGUUAAUCGGGGCAGGGUGAGUCGACCCCUAAGGUGAGGCCGAAAGGCGUAAUCGAUGGGAAACGGGUUAAUAUUCCCGUACUUCUGACUAUUGCGAUGGGGGGACGGAGAAGGCUAGGUGGGCCAGGCGACGGUUGUCCUGGUUCAAGUGCGUAGGCUUGAGAGUUAGGUAAAUCCGGCUCUCUCUAAGGCUGAGACACGACGUCGAGCUGCUACGGCAGUGAAGUCAUUGAUGCCAUGCUUCCAGGAAAAGCCUCUAAGCUUCAGAUAGU
rnacentral:rRNA from 1 species